rnacentral:snRNA from 1 species
GGAUGUGAGGGCCAUCUGACUGUGAUAUCUGUCAACCUGUGAAUUGCCAGGGGUGAUCUGGCUGAUCUGGCUGGCCAGGCGGGUGUCCCCUUCCUCCCUCAAAACUCCAUAUGUGUCCCUCCUGAAGCUGUGCACUCCAUGGAGGAAGACAACCAUCCCCAACAGAAGCGGACCAUUUCUGGGUCAAGGGUAUAGGAGUAGCUGCACUCCCUGGCUAGGACCUCCAAACAAGCACUCAAGAACCAAGGACCAUUUGUAAUUCCAUAUGAAUAUUAAGAUUUUAAAAAUUUUCUAUAAAAUAUGCCAGUGGGAUUUU